rnacentral:rRNA from 1 species
CGGGGGGCCUACGGGAGCAGCAGUAGGGAAUCUUCCGCAAUGGGCGAAAGCCUGACGGAGCAACGCCGCGUGAGUGAUGAAGGUCUUCGGAUCGUAAAACUCUGUUAUUAGGGAAGAACAAAUGUGUAAGUAACUAUGCACGUCUUGACGGUACCUAAUCAGAAAGCCACGGCUAACUACGUGCCAGCAGCCGCGGUAAUACAA